AUUGAACGCUGGCGGCAGGCUUAACACAUGCAAGUCGAGCGAGCGGCGGACGGGUGAGUAAUGUCUGGGAAACUGCCUGAUGGAGGGGGAUAACUACUGGAAACGGUAGCUAAUACCGCAUACCAUCAGAUGUGCCCAGAUGGGAUUAGCUAGUAGGUGGGGUAAUGGCUCACCUAGGCGACGAUCCCUAGCUGGUCUGAGAGGAUGACCAGCCAAACUGGGACUUGGGAAAGGGGCAACAACCUGCGGGAGGCAACAGUGGGGAAUAUUGCACAAAGGGCGGAAGCCUGAUGCAGCCAUGCCGGGUGUGUGGAGAAGGCCUUCGGGUUGUAAAGCAAUUUCAGCGAGGAGGCGGUACUCGCAGAAGAAACACCGGCUAACUCCGUGCCAGCAGCCGCGGUAAAAC
rnacentral:rRNA from 1 species